CUGAUAUGCAAGUGAUUCUUGCAUAUCACUUUGAUGCUACUACAUUUUUGCAAAUCUCUUUCCACUUCUAGUCAGUUCAUGUUAUCCAAGAAGUUCUUCACUGAGUAGAAUGUUUAAUGUGAGGUAAUGUUAUCAUUCUUGCUCUUUAAGAUAAACCCCUCCGUGUUCUGUGGCACAAUGGAAUAGUAUGCAGCAGUUAGAAGCUGUAUUAGAUGUACAAAUAGCAACAUGAAUAAUCUCAAAAAAGAGGGCUCAGUUUUAAAAGAAAAAAAUAGAAAAUAUAAUACCAAUAAUUAAGAAUAUGUGCAUAAGAGUUCCUGUCAUGGCACAACAAAAAUGAAUCCGACUAGGAACCAUGAGAUUGCAGGUUCAAUCCCUGGCCUCGAUCUAUGGGUUAACGAUCUGGCAUUUCCAUGAACUGUGGUGUAGGUAGCAGAAACAGCUCCAAUCUGAUGUUCCUGUGGGUGUGAUGUAGGCCAGCAGCUAUAGCUCCAAUUGGACCCCUAGCCUGGGAACCUCCAUAUGCUGCAGGUGCGGCCCUAAAAAAAAAAAAAAAGAAAAGAAUAUAUGCAUACAAACCAUAUGCUUUGGAGGGAAAUAUUUAAAUGAAAAUACAUAGAUUUAAAAUAUUAAAAUAGUUUCCGAAGAGGGAAUAAUCAAAGUGAGGUAUGAGAGAUAAGAGAAAGAAGGAAGGAAGCUUUGUUGUGAGCCACAUGGGAAGUCCAAGAAAGAAGGAAGGAACUUUUGUAUGAAACAAUAAGGAGAAUAAGCCAUGGACUAAAAAAAUAUAAUUAGCUCAAUUAAGUGCACCUAAGUUCAAAAAAAUGUUGGCCAUAUGAAUGAAAUGUGGAAGUCUGAACAAAACUACAUCAGUACCAACAAAAGGGGGGGUGUCCCGUCAUGGCUAAAUGGUUAAUGAAUCUGACUGCAGCCAUGAGGAUGGGAGUUCAAUCCCUGGCCUCGCUCAGUGGGUUAAGCAUCUGGCAUUGCUUAACCCACUGAGCGAGUAAGUCACAGACGUGGCUCAUAUCCCAUUGCUGUGGCUAUGGCGUAGGCCAGCAGCUACAGCUCCAAUUGGACUCUGAGCCUGAAAACCUCCAUAUGCUGCAGGUGCAGCCCAAAAAAAGACAAAAAAAAAAAAACAAAAAAAAAAAAAAAAAAAAAAAAACUACAUCAACAAUAAAUCCCACUGAGAAAUCAAUCUACUUAACUUCUACUUUUUCUGAAUAAAGAUGAGCUAUAUAUUCCCAAUUCACAUUCAAAAAGAAAAAAACAGUCAUUCUAAUGGUACUCAUAAAUUUUCUAUUUAAAGUAAAAAGUUGUUAAAGUUACAAAUAAGUAAAUUAAAAGAAGUUUAAAAUGUAAGUAGACUGCUGAAAUUCUAUUUCUUCUCAGCACAAUUAUUAAAUAAUCAUUAAUGACAAGUUUUUUGAUGAUUUUUUUAAGAUAGAUGGCAGACAGGUAGGUAGGUAGACGGACAGACAGACAGAUGAUUACAGA
rnacentral:lncRNA from 1 species